GGGUGCUAUAUCAUUGAGCUGAUAUGAUUUGGAGAGAGUGUGUUCUCCUGAAACGAUUUGGGGAAGGAAGAAAAAGCCCUAAAUUCGGGUUCGGUUUUUCUGCUGAAUACCUCGAAGAAAAAAAGGAUUUCCUAUGCAGGUAAGGAGUCUUUAGUGAAUUCAUCCAGGAAAAAAAGUUCAUC